AUUGAACGCUGGCGGCAGGCCUAACACAUGCAAGUCGAACGAGUGGCGGACGGGUGAGUAAUGUCUGGGAAACUGCCUGAUGGAGGGGGAUAACUACUGGAAAAGGUAGCUAAUACCGCAUACCCUCGGAUGUGCCCAGAUGGGAUUAGCUAGUAGGUGGGGUAACGGCUCACCUAGGCGACGAUCCCUCGCUGGUCUGAGAGGAGUACCAGUCACAGUGGAAAUGAUACACGGUCCAGACUCCUACGGGAGGCAUCAGUGGGGAAUAUUGCACAAUGGGAGCAAGCCUGAUGCAGCCAUGCCGCGUGUAUUAAGAAGGCCUUCGGGUUGUAAAGUACUUUCAGCGGGGAGGCGUUACCCGCAGAAGAAGCACCGGCUAACUCCGUGCCAGCAGCCGCGGUAAUUC
rnacentral:rRNA from 1 species